UGGAGAAGGGCAAGCAGGGAAAAAAGCGCAGCUCCUGGCCACACUGGGGCCCAGAGCAGCCAACAGUGAGGCCGAGGUUUGAAGAGCAGAGGCCGACCAGCCGCGGCCAGACCUUUGCCCAGCCCUGCCCGUUUAUUGCCGGGUACUUGCUGGAAGGGGACAGAAGAUAAGACUCGGGGUGACUCCCAAGGCCUGAAGGGGGCUGAUUGGGCCG
ensembl:lncRNA HOXB-AS4 HOXB cluster antisense RNA 4